UACGGGGGGGGGCAAGCGUUUGUUCGGAAUUACUGGGCGUAAAGGGCUCGUAGGCGGCCAACUAAGUCAGACGUGAAAUCCCUCGGCUUAACCGGGGAACUGCGUCUGAUACUGGAUGGCUUGAGUUUGGGAGAGGGAUGCGGAAUUCCAGGUGUAGCGGUGAAAUGCGUAGAUAUCUGGAGGAACACCGGUGGCGAAGGCGGUUCUCUGGGCCUUACCUGACGUCUGAGGAGCGAAGGCCAGGGGAGCAAACGGG
rnacentral:rRNA from 1 species